rnacentral:rRNA from 1 species
GAUGAACGCUGGCGGCGUGCCUAAUACAUGCAAGUCGAGCGAACAGACGAGGAGCUUGCUCCUCUGACGUUAGCGGCGGACGGGUGAGUAACACGUGGAUAACCUACCUAUAAGACUGGGAUAACUUCGGGAAACCGGAGCUAAUACCGGAUAAUAUAUUGAACCGCAUGGUUCAAUAGUGAAAGACGGUUUUGCUGUCACUUAUAGAUGGAUCCGCGCCGCAUUAGCUAGUUGGUAAGGUAACGGCUUACCAAGGCAACGAUGCGUAGCCGACCUGAGAGCGUGAAUGCCUAGCUUGUCUCUGAGGCAGGGCCCACACUCUUACGCGGGGACGCAGUAGAGAAUCCUACGGGAGGGAGGAAAGCGGGAUAUAGCAACGUCGGGGGAGGCAUGAAGGUGCUCUGCCCCGAAAACGCUGUUAGUCGGGAAGAAGAAAAGUGCAAUUAACCGGGAUGGUCAUGACGGUACCGAAAGAGUAAGCCCCGGCUAACUACGUG